GACGAACGCUUGCGGCGUGCUUAACACAUGCAAGUCGAACGGUGAAGCGCCUUCCUUUUUGGUGGGUGUGGAUGAGUGGCGAACGGGUGAGUAACACGUGAGUAACCUGCCCCCUUCUUCUGGAUAACCGCAUGAAAGUGUGGCUAAUACGGGAUAUUCUGGGUCUGUCGCAUGAUGGGUCUGGGAAAGAUAUUGUUUCGGUGGGGGAUGGGCUCGCGGCCUAUCAGCUUGUUGGUGGGGUGAUGGCCUACCAAGGCGGUGACGGGUAGCCGGCCUGAGAGGGUGGACGGUCACACUGGGACUGAGACACGGCCCAGACUCCUACGGGAGGCAGCAGUGGGGAAUAUUGCACAAUGGGCGCAAGCCUGAUGCAGCGACGCCGCGUGAGGGAUGGAGGCCUUCGGGUUGUGAACCUCUUUCGCCAGUGAAGCAGGCCUGCCUCGUUUGUGGGUGGGUUGACGGUAGCUGGAUAAGAAGCGCCGGCUAACUACGUG
rnacentral:rRNA from 1 species